rnacentral:rRNA from 1 species
UAAUUUUUUAAUUUUUUAUUUAAUUGUUUAUUCGGUUAAUGUGCCUUUUGUAUCAUGCAGUUUCGAUUUAUUUAGUUUAUUCAUUUUAACCGAAAAGGUUUGAUUUUUUUAUGGGUUGUGAGUUAGCACUUAUUAUCGUGUAGAUAUAAAAACCCCUUUAAUGCUGUGAUAAAUUAUUCGGUUUCCUUUAUAUCUGUUUUGUGUUAAUUAUUUCUUUUUACCACCUAAGCGUAGAAGUUUAGGUGGAUAAUACAUAAAGUUUUUUUGUUGUUAUGAUAGGAUUAAAAAUAUACUGUCAUUGAAAGUUUAUUACAAUUUUAUUUUUGUCUAUUUUUUAUUAUUUUUACUUAAUACAUAGUUUUUAUAUUUAGUGUUAUAUAUAAGACUAUUAGUAAUUGGAUUAUUUUUCUUGUAUCUCAUGAUCAACUCGUCUGUUUCUCAAAAACAUUUCUAUAUUUAAUAAUUUAUAGUAGAACCUGCUCGAUGUUUAAUUAUCAAUGGCCGCAGUAUUUUAACUGUGCGAAGGUAGCAUAAYUAAUUGCCUCUUAAUUGGAGGCUUGUUUGAAUGGUUUGACGCGGUUGUUGUCAUACAUCAGAUCUUUGUUUGAAUUUAAUAAUGGGGGUGAAGAAUYCCCUAUUUUUAAUUAGACGGAAAGACCCCGGGAUCUUUUAUUUUUACCUGGGGUAGGCUGUUUAUUUCACUAUUUCAAUAAUGAUCCUUAUUUAGGUUAAUGUUUUAAGUUACCCCGGGGAUAACAGUGCUAUAGCUUAUCAGAGAUCUUAUCGAGUAAGUUGUUUGCCACCUCGAUGUUGACUUAGGCUAAUAUUUGGGCGCAGUUGUUUAAAUAUGUGGUCUGUUCGACCUUUAUUGCCUCCAUGAGUUGAGUUAAGACCGGCGUAAGCCAGGUCGGUUCUUAUCUAUUAAUCUGACUUACUAGUACGAAAGGACCGUAAGUUGUUUUAGU